rnacentral:sRNA from 1 species
GCCGGGUGUUGUGGUGCACACCUGUAAUCCCAGCAGCUUGGGAGGCUGAGACAGGAGAAUCACGAGUUCAAAGCCAGCCUUAGCAACUGUGAGGUGCCAAGAAACUCAGUGAGACCCUGUCUCUA